CUGUUUGCCACCACCGCCUCCUGCGGGGCCCACACACUUCACAUUUCCCUUCGGCUGCCGGUCCGCUUCCGGCCUCACGGCGCGCAAGCGCACUCGUAGGAGUGUUUUGACAGCUCCGGACGAGGGGAAGGAGCAGGUGUCGCGAGAGUGGGCAGCGCGCCGCCUAGCGAGAGCUGGAAUUAUGGCGAACCUGGGAAGUGAGGCCGAGCGGGAGCCCCUCUUGGGCCCGGGAUCACCCGGAAGCAGGUGAGCAGGCGGGUGGGACUAGCUGGGUACAGUGAGUCCAGUGUCCGGACCCGAAACCCGGCUGCACAUGCGCAUGCCCAGCAACGCCUUCGGAGCCGCUUAGGACAGGCUCCGGGAUCAUCGCGUUUACUUGGGAAUAGUGGAGAAUUUUGGUUCUUGGAGAACUUGUGUACGUAGAAAGCUGGGCAGGGGGAUGCUUCACAAAGGUCACAGCAGUUUCACAUUGUAGCCCUUGUGCUGUGUGUCUUAAGCAUCUGCCUGAAUCCUGUUAUGGUAAUUCCUUCUUGCUUGAGAGCUUCUUUUUCUUCACUAUUUUUCCUUUGUUUUGUAUGAAGAAACCUAAGCUGCCUCUUUUACAGCAGACACUGCAUUCUGUUGACCCUGUGUAGCUGUCCACUGUCACAAAAGCCCCAAAUGGUGGUUUUAACCGACACUCAAGAGCUAAACUUGAGUUAGACUUUUCCUAACCUGCCUAAUAACUUCUUCAUAUUUUGCAAAUAAACCCACUUAAAAUGACUCACAUUUGCUCAGUAUCACAUGUCCAAAAUAAAGACACCUUUAAGCGUUUCAUUAGUAUUUUCAUCCUUGUAAUUCUCAUUUUGAUCCUAAUUUAUGAGCACUAAUUUAGAAAAGUUGGGCUUGUCUUACUGUAGCAAUAUGUAUUCUUACUUUUACGAAGCAAUAAGUAUUAUUUCAUCGAGUCUUUUGUUUGAAGCGCAGUGUGUGUUUUAUUAGGUUCAUUUUUUGAGGGAGAACGGGUGGCACAUGCAUCAUGCUUUGUACAGAGGCCAGAGGAUGGAUUACAAUUUUAUGUUUCUUGAUUUUUAUCUUGAGGUGAUUAAAAUAAGUAGCAGUGUUGACAUUUGUUUUAAAAGAGCUGCAUCCCCCAGGCCUGUUGAGACCUUCGAAGCUGUUGGCUUCUGCCCUGCUUUUUGCUGUGCCGCAAUCCUUUUGGAGUUCUUACAGCUCUAUAGUUGCCCUGCGUAUUCCAUGCCUAGAAGAGGCCAUCCCUCUUCUCCCUUUUGAAAUCUGUCAGCAACCCUCAUUUAUGUUACCUGCAACUCCUGCCAACAACUUUUUUUCUUCCAGGCUUGUUAUUUGCCGGGACCCUGAAGUUAUUUUUACUUACUGUAAUUUUGUGCUUCUGAUGUACAGGCUCUGCCAGGCUAGAGCUCCCUGUUAGUCACGUGCAUAGGGCUGUGGCAUUUCCAUUUCCUAGCCUUCUUUGUGCUGCUUGCUUUUCUUUUGUUGUAUUUCAUGUCAGGCCUGUGUUUUCCAGAAAGAGUGUGGGAUCCUUGAGUUAUAUAUGUACAGCUAACCACAGAAAUAUGAUUUUGAUUGAAAUAAGCUUAAACACAUUUUCUCUUACUUUUCUCUCCCUUUUAAAUAAGUGAUUGUGUUAGGCUUCAUCUAUAGGUGAAGAUGGACAGAUGUUCCUGUCCAUGAAGAGUUCAUUAGAUUGAACUCUAUGUUCUGUGUUUAGCAUUUUAAAAAUUAAAAGGAAAUGUAUGCUGUUUUUAAAAUCAUAAGUUGAUUCCCUAGCUAUGACUAACUGCAGGGUUUGCUCACUUGUACUUUACUGUACAAAGUUCAGUAUAGUAAGCCAGCAACCCUUAUCAAACAAGAUUGACUAAUCAGGAUUUAUUGAUGUAAUUGGCUUAGAUCCUUCUUCUUUUCUUGAGUGUCUAGUGCUCUCAACUGACUUCCUUNNNNNAAUCUGCAGAUCAUACUAAAUGAGUGCAUUGUUUAGUCAGUAGGUUGGUCUAUUGGCGAGAAACUUGGUCUUUGAAGUUAGUCUUUUGUCAUCUGGUAACAACUAUUCACCUGUAAACCAGUUUUAUCUAUCAAGCUAAAGACCGGUGGUGUCUGGAUUUGACCUAAAGAUUAUAGAUUGCUAGCCUUACCUUAGGUUUUUUUGAAAUGCUACAGACACUUCAAAUUCUUAUUUCAGUGUUUGUCAAUAAAAGAAAUAUUACUGCACCCUCUGUCCUUACAUGUCUGCAUUACCUCCCUCCUCUCUUCCCUCACUCCCUUCCUUUCUUCCUUCCUUUUAGGUAAGUUCUCACUUUGGAGCCCAGGCUGGCUCACAGCUCAGUCUGGUAGAGGCUGGCCUUGAACUUAGGGUCUUCCUGCUUUCCCUCCUUCCUAGUGCAAUAACAGUAACAGGCAGGUGCUAGUAUGCUUGUCUUACAGUGCAGACCUUUUGUUUCUGUCAUAUGUCUGCAGUUAUAGCAGUAUGCUCUCUCCAGAUGCUCACCCUUCUUGCUCUCCAGUUCUGAGUCUGGCUGUUCUGCCUUUCUGUAGUGAGACCAGAGCGAAUUUUGAAAGUGCAGUGCUGCUCUGCCGCAGACUCUGUGCAAAAACACACACUGAAUCAUAUUGUUUUACCCAGGUGUUCAGUUCAUGCCAGUGUAUUAUGUAUUUUUCUUGGAUUUUAAGUCAUAUAUUUGUUAAACAUUCUGCCAUCUGGAGCUGUGGUUAUCAAAAUAUUAGAACACCAUGGUUUUACUUGAGAGAAAAUCCCCUUGGAAAGANAGGAAAAUGAAUGCCAGGAUACAGCAGAACUAGUAGAUAGAAGGUAAACGUUAAACAAAUCCCCUUGGAAAGAAGUACAGCAUUUUUUGCUUGUUUGUUUACUAUGUAUCCCUGGCUGGCCUGGAGCUACUAUGUACCUUCAAACUUACAGAGAUCCUGCUGUCUCUGCCACCUAAGUGCUGGGAUGAAAGGCAUGCGCCAUGACACCCAGGUUCAGUUUUUCUUCUUACACCCCUGUAAAGCAGAAGUCUGUAAAGCUCAGCCUCAGCCAUCUAACAUGUGUGUCAUC
ensembl:processed_transcript